CUCGGUUUUGAAGAGGGCGCGCGUUCACGUUGGGCCCUUCGCAUCUGUAGACGCUGGAGGCCCGCAGAAAGGAUACUGUGUCCGAUGAGAUAAAGCAUGUGAGGGUGCUUUGUAACCGGAAAGUGCCUUUCAAAAUAGCUCCUGAUUUGCUGCUGGUACCUGGUAGAGAUGGAACACUUGACCAUGUGACAUCAAGUGACUGUGUGAAUAAUCAAACCAACCAUCAUGACCUGGUGUUAUCUGAUUCACCAGACCAUACAAGUGGAUGAGCACAACAGCAGUCCACGCCCUACAAGACUGGGAACACUGUCACAACUAAACUGAACAAGCAGGACUGAAUGACACCACCCCAUGAUGAUUUUGUAGCUGAUGGGAGGAAAUUGCAUAGUGGAAAAGAGUAAGUUGCUUUUGGAAGAGACCGAUGCCUCAGCAGAAUGGGGGGACCCCAGAUAUUCAAGCAUCUCUCCAACAUAUCUCCCUCUCCUAGAUCUUGGCCCUGCAGUCUUCACCAAUUUGGCAGCUUCUCAGUGCCU